AACGAACGCUGGCAGCAGGCUUAACACAUGCAAGUCGAACGCAUCGCAAGAUGAGUGGCAGACGGGUGAGUAACGCGUGGGAACAUACCCUUUUCUACGGAAUAGCUCUGGGAAACUGGAAUUAAUACCGUAUACGCCCUACGGGGGAAAGAUUUAUCGGGGAAGGAUUGGCCCGCGUUGGAUUAGCUAGUUGGUGGGGUAAAGGCCUACCAAGGCGACGAUCCAUAGCUGGUCUGAGAGGAUGAUCAGCCACAUUGGGACUGAGACACGGCCCAAACUGCUACGGGAGGCAGCAGUGGGGAAUAUUGGACAAUGGGCGCAAGCCUGAUCCAGCCAUGCCGCGUGAGUGAUGAAGGCCUUAGGGUUGUAAAGCUCUUUCACCGAUGAAGAUAAUGACGGUAGUCGGAGAAGAAGCCCCGGCUAACUUCGUGCCAGCCGCCGCCGUAA
rnacentral:rRNA from 1 species